UGCUCUCUGCAGGGUUUCUGCCUGGAGCUCCCUGGGGCCGGGAGCACCCCGAGAGGGAGAGGCCUGGUUACAUCCUGGGCGGCUCUCAGCACUCGGCGAUGCGUUUCUUUCUGCGGCAUGUUUGUUUAAUCUGUGGGUCCCCUGAGAGUCCACGGGCUCUGCCUCGGGUCUCCACUCCGCCUGCGGAAUUUGCCCAGACUUGGCACACGGAGGACGCUACGGACCGGCUGCUGACCCGGGGGGCGGGUAGGUGGACGAUGGAUGGACGAGGGGUGAUGGACGGCCUUCAUUCUCCUGUGCAGACUCAAAGACAGAGGCCCAGAGAGCUUCAAUAGACUGCUCCAUCUCCAACAGCUAGUCCUGGCACAGCAGGAAUUUAAACCCAGCCAGGCCUCUCUGACUAGGCCUGUGAACUCAUCCACACUCCUCUACCACGGACCUCCGAGCAUCAGCGACAUUGACACCUGACUCUGAUCUAACUCACAUGUUCCUUUUUCUUCCCAAAAUAUUGCACAUCCAGCAUCGUAUGUAAUCCUAAAAGCAAAUCCAACCAGUGGUUGGGAAAAGGAUGGCCCCUCUUUCCAGAUGAGGAAACUGAGGCUCAGAGAAGGCCAUGAAUCAGUCACCAUCCCACAGCCAGAAUGGAAGCUGCCUCUCUGAGGCCUCCCAGCCACAGUCACAUGUGUACGGUGACAGCUCAACCCGGGACUGCACUUCCAGAGGGCAGAGGCUGUGUCUUGUUUUGUCUGAUUCACAAAAGGUCCUUAUUAGACAGCAGAGGACGGGAGGCAGGCAGGCACCCUGAACCACUGAGCCGAGGAACCCUCGCCUUCUGACUUGAUGUGGGCCCUACACUACUGCCCUGCUCCUCAGCAAAACACAGACACACACACACACACCCCUGGGGAGCGAGGACAGUGGCAGCUGGCCCCUCUGAUCUGCCUUGUCACACACUAGGAACCAACCAACCCUGGCUCCUCCUGGGCUCCAGUGGCUGUGGCCUGGCACAGGGGGCAGCACUGGGCGGUCUGGGGUUCCCCCACAGAGGCGAGGCUGGGCUCCCGCUGCAGGACCCUCUUGCUGACCGGUGCCACAGUGCCCAGUGCAGGCACGCACUGGGGCUGCUCUGCUCAAACCACGUGCACUGGGGCUGCGGGGGCUGCUGCGUGUACUCACGAGCUCGUGCAUGCGUCUGUGUGCGUGUCUGGUGAGUGUGUGGCGGUGGACCUGCAGGGACUGUGCAGACAGGGUCCUUUCCUGUCACUCCCUGAGCCUCAGUUUUCCUCCUGGGCAAUGGGAACUGGCAUCCAAGGGGGCCUCAGAUUCUUGGUGCUCAGGUCAGCUGGGGAGUCGGCUUUCAGCGAGCGCUGUGGGCCUUCUGGAGCGUUUCCCUCCAGGUUAGUCAAGUCCUCUUGGCCUAGCUGGGCCUGGGCCUGCUCUUCCCAUCUGGAUUAAUAGGAAAGGGGUUCCUAUUUCCGUGUCUCCAUUUGUUACUCAUUUUUUGUUUUCAUAAAAUUUUAAAAGAGUGUGCCAUUUAGACUCAGGCAGAGACUUCAA